rnacentral:rRNA from 1 species
GACGAACGCUGGCGGCGUGCUUAACACAUGCAAGUCGAACGCUGAAGCACCAGUUUGCUGGUGUGGAUGAGUGGCGAACGGGUGAGUAAUACGUGAGUAACCUGCCCUUGACUCUGGGAUAAGCCCUGGAAACUGGGUCUAAUACUGGAUGCUACAUGUCACCGCAUGGUGGUGUGUGGAAAGGGUUUACUGGUCUUGGGUGGGCUCACGGCCUAUCAGCUUGUUGGUGGGGUAAUGGCUCACCAAGGCGACGACGGGUAGCCGGCCUGAGAGGGUGACCGGCCACACUGGGACUGAGACACGGCCCAGACUCCGACGGGAGGCAGCAGUGGGGAAUAUUGCACAAUGGGCGAAAGCCUGAUGCAGAGACGCCGCGUGAGGGAUGACGGCCUUCGGGUUGGAAACCUCUUUCAGCAGGGAAGAAGCAACAAGUGACGGUACCUGCAGAAGAAGCGCCGGCUAACUACGUG